AUCAUAAGGUCGAGCAACUGGUGUGGCUUCGGCUUGCUUCCUCUUUCCCCUUGCAGAAGUGGAUCCCUUAGGUUGAUUCUUAGGUGCCAUGCCUGAAAAACACAACUAGGAAAUCCAUACAAUUCACAGGAAAAAUAAUUAGAGAAGAAUAAAUUCAAAAUAGAUUGAAAAUGAACCAAAUUUUUUUCUAGUUCCUGUGAAUUUCACCAGGCGAGAUUGACCUCCGCCAUGGCGAAAUGGUAUUCAAGUUUCUGGGUUUCUAAAGAACAGCUCGCCAUGGCGAGCGAAAGGCGAGCCAACCUAGACUUCAAAAAUGCAAACCUGUUGUUGGACUAAAUCAAAUGCAGAGAAAAUGCAGAAAUGCUAGCUUGACUUGAAUUUACUUGGGUGGAAAUUAUGUGGAAAAUUUCUUGGUGAGUUCUAGGCUUAUGAAUAGAAGAAAGUAGGUUUGGUGGAGAGAGAGAAAAGUGAAACCGAAAAAUUUUGUGCAAUGAGGGAUAGUGGGUGGUUGGGAGGAGUUAUGGUGAGUUAGUGGCAUUGGAAUCCGUAACUGCCAGUUUACAUGAUUUCGCCAGGCGGAGUUUUUGUUCGCCAUGGCGAAGGAAAUGGUAGUCAACGCAUGUCAAAUGACCUAUAAUUCUCACCAGGCGAAAAUUUGGUUCGCCAGGCGAAACAAUGUGAGUUCAGGAUUUUCUGUGUUAGCUUCUGUUUUUGGAAUUUUUUGUAGGUUAUGUGACUUCUAAUCCUAAAAUUGCAGAAACACAAUAAAUUUACUUACAAAAUUGGGGUGCCUCCCAACAAGCGCCAGUUUAUCGUCGUUAGCUCAACGCCUUUUGCAUUUGAGUUCAUGGAUUGUAGAGUGAAAUUGUCGACGUGAGCCGAUCAAAUUCACGACCAAAAUAGAGCUUGAGUCUAUGCCCAUUUACUGUUCAACUAUCUUUAGUAGCUGGAUCUUCAAGCUCCACUGCACCAUAUGGUUUAACCUCUUUAACCAUGAAAGGACCGGACCAUUUAGACUUUAACUUGCCCGAAAAGAGCCUCAAUCUUGAAUUGAACAGCAGCAGCACUUGAUGAGAUAAAACCGCAAGUGCACGGUCUUACCGAAGUAGUAUAAAAGAGUAUCGUUCCGACAGGGAGUAGUUCAAUUCAAUUAACUUUUUAGAGAUGAUUAGAAGAGAGAAGAGAAUUGUAAGUUGGGGGUUUUCAAGCGUUUGAAAGAUAAUAAUAAUAAUAAAAAGAGUCUUGGGAUCGUUGGUUUCCUCUAAAUGACAAGUCCUUCUCAAACCAAAACUAUAAGCUUAUAAUGUUAUGUUAGACCUAAUUUCUCAAGACAGUUUCUCUUAUGUUCCUCUAGCAACCAAGCCUAUUUCGCUGACUUGAUUACUAUUAGAUUUUGGUUCCUCUAACAACCAAGCCUAUUUCGCUGACUUGAUUGUUAUUAGUUCCCUUGAAGAUCGAAACUAUAUGUCUCAAAGAUUGCAAAGCCUAUUUCGCUGACUUUGCAAUCCUUGUCUGAAUUCACUUGUUCGAAUAUCAAAGCUCCACUUUCGUUUUAUGAAUUGAUAUUUGGAAUAAUGGAUAAACAAUUAUCAAACCCUCCUGUUAUCACGAUUUUGGGGUAUCAAGUCAUUAAUUAGGCUUGAACCUUUCAAUCUUUGAUAUUCUCUAUUUUUUCUUGGGAAGGGUAAAAUUGAGAAAACCCUUAGAAACUCUAAGUUCGGGGGUCGUUUUCGUUACGGGAAGGUGUUAGGCACCCGUAACGACUAUAGUAUUCUAUAGGAACCGUUUUCCUAGCUUUAUGUCUACGCUUUAUUUUUAUGCUUAUUUAUUGAAAAGAAAGUGUAUUUAGUUUAAAAAUGGAGGGAGGAAAUGUUUGAGAUUUUAUUUUAUUGGACUUGGAGAGGUUUUGACCUCUUGCCUACAUACCCUUUUAAGGGAUCAAACUCCAUGUAGUUCUCUCUCAAAAAUGUUUUUGUGUGUUUCAAUUGAUUUUAAGUUUUUUUGAAAAUGGGUUUUGAAGAAAGGAAAGAAGCCGUAAAGGCAUGAGAAAAAAUGGUGAGUGGUUGGUUCAAUUAUUAAAGAAAAGAGUCUAAGUUGGAAUUAAAGUUCAUUUGAAUUUUGCUUAAGAAAAUAAAGGAAAAGUGCAAUGGAGUUUUGACUCCAAGGUUUAUUUGAAAAAAUUUUCAAGUGAUGGAACUUUCUAAUUUUUUGGGAAAUGAAUAUUUUUCUAAGUAUCGCGUUCCCUAAGCAUGCAUCUAAGACGGUAAAUCAACAUACAACGUGUGUGCGUGUCGGUGCUUGUGUCGGUGUACAUCAUUAGAGUCCAUUGUCCAUUACAUAGACCCUAGUUUACAUUCUAUGGUCUUGCAAGAAUUUAAAAGAGAAAUUAAAACUAUCUAAACCUUACAUGCCAACUCCAACAUAGAAAUGAAUAGUAAAAGACCUAAACUAUAAGAAAUGGAGAUGAAAUGAUAGAAUGCUUAUGAGGUGAAUGAAACAAGAAAUAAAAUGGUUAGUAGAAUAGGACAUAAAAUGAUAGAACAAGUAAGCAAAGAAAUACGAGAUAAACGGUAAAAGCAACAACAAUAACCAAAAUGUAAAAAGUACACAUUACUUGCAACACAAGAAAUUAGCAAAUCACAUCAAAAACAGUACAAACAAACACAUGAUCAGAGACAUAUUCACCACGAAAUUGCAUAUCAAUCAUUCAUAUCAUGCCAAGACCUCAUGAACAAAUUAUAGCAAGACAAUUCACAAGUUUAGUCAAAAACGAACAAAUCAACAAGAAAACAUCACGUAUAUUUUUUUAUCAUUUUUAAUAUGUAAAAACAUCACAAAAAUAUCAAAAAUGCAUCAAGAAACACAUAGAAAUUUUUUAGGAAUUUUUACAAGAAAAAUUAGACAACAGAGGGUUCACAUAGCAAGAAACAGGGUGUGCAUAGCAAGAAAAUCAAGAAAACGAAGGGAAACCACAUGAAAAGGCCCAGGCCCAACGUCCAUUGGAUCUGGACGCACAGGAACCGUUGGAUUGGUCCAAGAUGAAAAACCCUAGAUCUAACGGCCACAAUGAAGGAGAAAUGAACCAGAAUUGAACCGGUCCGGUUCAGUUGUUUAUAAAAGGAAUUGGGGACCGGUUCAAUUCACUUUCUUCUCUUCCUUCUCUCUCUACACUAAUCUAGUGAGAGAAGCUCUCACUUCUCUCUUCUCCUCCCUCGCCGAUUUCUGGAUUGAGCGGCCGGAGAAGAUGAAGGUCUGGCCGGAACCUUCAUAGGUCCGCCGGAAACUUCAUCUUCUCCGGCAAGAUCUCCAGGUUCCGGUAACCUAAUCUCACCAGAAAUUCAUGAAUCUUACAUCAAUCAACUCGUUUUCUAACCCUAAGUAUGAAGCUAACACUGGUUUUCACAUGCAAGGCUCGAAUCAACGUAGAUCUAGAAAUUUCUUCACGGUUUUCGAAUGAAUUUUUUUUAGGUUUUCCAGUUUUGAACGAAACUUCUUAAAACUCCAUAGAUCUACAUUGAUUUGUCUUCGUUGUUGUUUUUAAGCAAGAAAGAUGAAGUUUAUGUGUUUACCUGUGGUUUCAAUUGGAGAUUUUGAGCGAAGAUCUUCGGAAACACUUGAACUUGAUUUUGUUUGUUGAUUUUUGACUUGAAUCCGAAAAUAAAUCGGUUCUUCUUCUUCUUCACUGGUACCGAUUCAAUUCCUCUUCAUCUUCUUUCUCUUCUUCUUCUCCCUCAAACUCUGUGAUCGUGCUUGAGUUCUUCACCUCCGGUGAGGAAUUCGCACUUGAAUUGCAGAGGAAAAAAACGGUUCAAUGAUGAAGAUUCACCAUGAAUCACUGAGAACCGAAGCAAUUUUGUUGAAAUUGUUGGUGAACUGUGUUGGAUUUUUAGAAUUUGGUGGUGGAUUGUGGUUCUGGAAAUUAGGGUUCUUGCUUGUUCUUCAUUGUUCUUGGUGAAUUUUCUGUAUUUUGAUCCUAACUGAAAGGAGAGAGAAAUUUCUCUCUGUUUGUGAUGUGGCUUGAAUUGUGUGGAUCUCUGAUUCUGACUUGUGCAGUGAAUGCACCUUUUAUAGGCUGCCAAGUGUGCUUGAGACCCAAUGGGAGAGGGACACCUGUGAUUGGACUUUGGCUGGCUCGGCCUUGGACCAUUUGGACUUGGGGACCUUUCUGCAAAAUAAGAAAAAGGACUAAAAAUGCAAUUUUAAAAUGUUUGGGACCAAAAUGCAAUUUCUGAAACUGUUUCGGGAUCAAAAUGCAAUUAAAAAUAAAAUUGGACUAAAAUUGGUAAAUUGGACAAAACGUAAAGCGAAACCAAAAAUAAAAUCAACAAAAGGACUAAAAUGAACCAAUUACAAAAAUGAGGUAUUUUAAAAUACGUCUCUGUCGAAAUUUUGAUGGGAAAAGACCAAAAUGCCCCUAGGGACUAAACUGACUCAGAUGUAAUUUUUGAAAUGAUUUUUUAACAAAGACUCAACAAUGACUUGUACAACAAGUUGAAAAGACUCAGAGACAAACACAGGGACUAAAAUGGGUUCCACUGCAGGAAAUGACGAAAAUACCCUUUUUGUAUGAUUUUUUGAAAUAACAUGCAAGAAAAGCAAUGCAAUGAUUCAGAGAGCAACAAGGCGUUGCACUUUGAUUAUUGGUACAUCAUUCCAAUGGUUCACUCGAAACAUGGAGGAUAAAGUAGCAAGAGCAUCAGCCAUUUGGUUCUCAUCUCGAGGGAUAUGGUGCAAUUCGACCUUUGUAAAAUAUGUCAGCAAACGUCUCGCGUAAUCUCGGUAAGGAAUCAACUUGGCAUGGUGGGUCUCCCAUUCGCCCUUUAUCUGGUUGAUGACAAGUGCCGAAUCUCCAUAGAUGUCGAGGUGUUUGAUUCUCAUGUCAAUUGCUUCCUCGAUCCCAAAGAUACACGCUUCGUAUUCGGCCAUAUUGUUUGUACAUUCGAACAGAAUCCAGGCGGUAAAAGGGAUGUGAUGCCCCUGCGGGGAUACAAUGACUGCCCCGAUUCCUUUACCAUAAGCAUUGACAGCACCAUCGAAGACUAAUCCCCACUUGCUAUUGGGAUCUGGACCUUCACCAAUCAACGGUUCUUCGCAGUCUUUUGAUUUCAAAUACAUGAUCUCUUCAUCGGGGAAAUCAAACUUAAUUGGUUGGUAAUCAUCAAGAGGUUGGUAGGCAAGAUGAUCGGCAAGAAUGCUACCUUUGAUUGCUUUUUGAGCCUUGAACACAAUGUCAUAUUCGGACAAGAGCAUUUGCCAGCGUGCAAUCUUCCCAGUAACAGCAGGUUUCUCGAAGAUAUACUUUAUCGGAUCCAUUCUGGAUAUCAACCAAGUUGUAUGAUUCACCAAAUAAUGACGCAGGCGUUUGGCGGCCCAGGCCAGAGCACAACAAGUCUUUUCAAGCAUCGUAUACCGAGUUUCACAGUCGGUGAACUUCUUGCUCAGAUAGUAGAUAGCAUGUUCUUUCUUUCCAGUCUCAUCUUGUUGACCUAUUACGCACCCCACAGAUUCAUCAAACACUGACAAAUACAUAAUCAAAGGCCUUCCUUCCACGGGUGGGACAAGGAUAGGUGGUUCCAACAGGUAAUUCUUGAUGCUAUCAAAAGCUCCUUGGCAUUCAUCGUUCCAUACAAUAGGCUGAUUCUUCCUGAGUAGCUUGAAGAUCGGCCCGCAGGUUGCGGUCAUAUGAGAUAUAAAUCGGGAGAUGUAAUGCAAUCGCCCGAGGAAACCUCUAACUUGUUUCUCGGUCUGCGGGGCUGGCAUUUCUCGGAUGGCCCGGACAUUAUCAGGGUCGACUUCAAUGCCCUUUUGACUGACAAUGAAGCCUAGUAAUUUUUCAGAUCUGACGCCGAACGUACAUUUGUUAGGAUUCAAUCGAAGCUUGUACUUUCUCAACCUUUCGAACAUUUUUGUCAAGUAUUCGACAUGUUGCUCCUCAUCUUUUGACUUCACAAUCAUAUCGUCCACAUAUAUUUCGACUUCUUUGUGAAUCAUGUCAUGAAACAUAGUAGUCAUUCCUCUUUGGUAGGUAGCACCAGCAUUUAUUAGGCCGAAUGGCAUCACUUUGUAGUAGAAAGUACCCCAUGGGGUGAUAAAAGACGUCUUUUCUCUAUCUUCAAGGGACAUUUUGAUAUGAUUGUAAUCGGAGAAACCAUCCAUGAAGGAGAACACCUUGGACUGAGCAGUAUUGUCAACAAGCACAUCAAUAUGGGGUAAUGGGAAAUUGUCUUUUGGACUGGCUUUAUUCAGGUCUCUGAAGUCAACACACAUCCGGACUUUUCCAUCCUUCUUUGGCACAGGUACAAUAUUGGCAACCCAUUCAGGAUACUCGACUGUCAUGAGAAAACCCGCAUCAAUCUGCUUUUGAACCUCCCUCUUAAUCUUGAGAGCCAUAUCUGGAUGAGUCCUUCUCAAUUUCUGCCUGACGGGAGGACAUUCAGGCUUUGUUGGGAUCCGAUGUUCCACAAUCUUCAUACGACCAAGCAAAAAUAUCCGGGUAUUCUCGGAGGAGCUGGAAGAUCUUCCCUUUAACCCCUUCCUUUAGAGCAGCACCGACCUUGAUCUCUCGCUUGUUCUCCUCGGUACCUAGGUUGAUAAGCUCAAUCUCUUCAUGGUGAGGUUGAAUGGUUUUCCUUUCUUGCUCGAGCAGUCGAGUGAUCUCAUAUGGUAUAUCAUCACCUUCCUCAUCGUCGGCUUCAUACACCGGGAAUUCAAAAUUCGGAGGAAACGUAGGGUUACUGUACCCAACGGGUUUACUAUGGCUCAAUCUGCGUAAAAUGGUUGGAUGAUUUUAGAAAGAGGUUUUUAUGCAGAUUUUUUGAAAUUAAUAAGAAAAUACCAUGAAGAGAUUGAGCUUAUCAACCUAGGUACCGAGGAGAACAAGCGAGAGAUCAAGGUCGGUGCUGCUCUAGAGGAAGGGGUUAAAAGGAAGAUCUUCCAGCUCCUCCGAGAAUACCCGGAUAUUUUUGCAUGGUCGUAUGAAGAUUAUGGAACAUCGGAUCCCAACAAAGCCUGAACGUCCUCCCGUCAGGCAGAAAUUGAGAAGGACUCAUCCAGAUAUGGCUCUCAAGAUUAAGAGUGAGGUUCAAAAGCAGAUUGAUGCGGGUUUUUCUCAUGACAGUCGAGUAUCCUGAAUGGGUUGCCAAUAUUGUACCUGUGCCAAAGAAGGAUGGAAAAGUCCGGAUGUGUGUUGACUUCAGAGACCUGAACAAAGCCAGUCCAAAAGACAAUUUCCCAUUACCUCAUAUUGAUGUGCUUGUUGACAAUACUGCUCAGUCCAAGGUGUUCUCCUUCAUGGAUGGCUUCUCCGGUUACAAUCUGAUCAAAAUGUCCCCUGAAGAUAGAGAAAAGACGUCUUUUAUCACCCAUGGGAUACUUUCUGCUACAAAGUGAUGCCGUUCGGCCUAAUAAAUGCUGGUGCUACCUACCAAAGAGGAAUGACUACUCUGUUUCAUGACAUGAUUCCCAAAGAAGUCGAAAUAUAUGUGGACGAUAUGAUUGUGAAGUCAAAAGAUGAGGAGCAACAUGUCGAAUACUUGACAAAAAUGUUCGAAAGGUUGAGAAAGUACAAGCUUCGAUUGAACCCUAACAAAUGUACGUUCGGCGUCAGAUCUGGAAAAUUACUAGGCUUCAUUGUCAGUCAAAAGGGCAUUGAAGUCGACCCUGAUAAAGUCCGUGCCAUCCGAGAAAUGCCAGCCCCGCAGACCGAGAAACAAGUCAGAGGUUUCCUCGGGCGAUUGAAUUACAUCUCCCGAUUCAUAUCUCACAUGACCGCAACCUGCGGGCCGAUCUUCAAGCUACUCAGGAAGAAUCAGCCUAUUGUAUGGAACGAUGAAUGCCAAGAAGCUUUUGAUAGCAUCAAGAAUUACCUGCUGUAACCACCUAUCCUUGUCCCACCCGUGGAAGGAAGGCCUUUGAUUAUGUAUUUGUCAGUGUUUGAUGAAUCUGUGGGAUGCGUACUUGGUCAACAAGAUGAGACUGGAAAGAAAGAACAUGCUAUCUACUAUCUGAGCAAGAAGUUCACCGACUGUGAAACUCGGUAUACGAUGCUUGAAAAGACUUGUUGUGCUCUGGCCUGGGCCGCCAAACGCCUGCGUCAUUAUUUGGUGAAUCAUACAACUUGGUUGAUAUCCAGAAUGGAUCCGAUAAAGUAUAUCUUCGAGAAACCUGCUGUUACUGGGAAGAUUGCACGCUGGCAAAUGCUCUUGUCCGAAUAUGACAUUGUGUUCAAGGCUCAAAAAGCAAUCAAAGGUAGCAUUCUUGCCGAUCAUCUUGCCUACCAACCUCUUGAUGAUUACCAACCAAUUAAGUUUGAUUUCCCCGAUGAAGAGAUCAUGUAUUUGAAAUCAAAAGACUGCGAAGAACCGUUGAUUGGUGAAGGUCUGGAUCCCAAUAGCAAGUGGGGAUUAGUCUUCGAUGGUGCUGUCAAUGCUUAUGGUAAAGGAAUCGGGGCAGUCAUUGUAUCCCCGUAGGGGCAUCACAUCCCUUUUACCGCCCGGAUUCUGUUCGAAUGUACAAACAAUAUGGCCGAAUACGAAGCGUGUAUCUUUGGGAUCGAUGAAGCAAUUGACAUGAGAAUCAAACACCUCGACAUCUAUGGAGAUUCGGCACUUGUCAUCAACCAGAUAAAGGGUGAAUGGGAGACCCACCAUGCCAAGUUGAUUCCUUACCGUGAUUAUGCGAGACGUUUGCUGACAUAUUUUACAAAGGUCGAAUUGCACCAUAUCCCUCGGGAUGAGAACCAAAUGGCUGAUGCUCUUGCUACUUUAUCCUCCAUGUUUCGAGUAAACCAUUGGAAUGAUGUGCCAAUAAUCAAAGUGCAACGCCUUGAAAGACCUUCGCAUGUGUUCGCUAUUGGGGAUGUGAUCGAUCAGACUGGUGAAAAUGUGGUUGACAAUAAACCCUGGUAUUACGACACCAAACAGUUCUUGCUAAGCCGUGAGUAUCCACAGGGUGCUUCCAACAAAGACAAGAAGACUCUAAGAAGAUUGGCUAGUAGGUUCUUAUUAGAUGGGGACAUUUUGUACAAGAGAAACUACGACAUGGUAUUGUUAAGAUGUAUUGAUGAACACGAAGCAGAGCAGUUAAUGCAUGAUGUACAUGACGGUACCUUCGGGACCCACGCUACGGGGCACACUAUGUCAAGAAAGUUGUUACGAGCAGGUUACUACUGGAUGACCAUGGAGCAUGAUUGCUACCAACACGCCAGAAAGUGCCAUAAAUGUCAAAUCUAUACUGAUAAGAUUCAUGUGCCUCCACAUGCCCUCAAUGUUAUCUCCUCCCCAUGGCCGUUCUCCAUGUGGGGCAUCGACAUGAUUGGAAGAAUUGAACCGCAAGCAUCAAAUGGUCAUCGUUUCAUUUUAGUGGCAAUUGACUACUUCACCAAAUUGGUUGAAGCGGCAUCUUAUACCAAUGUUACCAAGCAAGUGGUAGCCAAGUUCAUCAGGAACAACAUCAUCUGUCGAUAUGGUGUUCCCAGCAAGAUCAUUACCGACAAUGGUACCAACCUGAACAACAAUGUGGUGCAAGCUCUUUGUAAAGAAUUCAAGAUCGAACAUCAUAAUUCUUCUCCUUAUAGGCCUCAGAUGAAUGGUGCAGUAGAGGCAGCCAAGAAGAACAUCAAGAAGAUUGUCCAGAAAAUGGUAACUACCUACAAAGAUUGGCAUGAGAUGUUGCCCUAUGCUCUGCAUGGCUACCGUACUACAGUGCGCAAUUCAACCGGGGCAACCCCUUUCUCUCUUGUAUAUGGUAUGGAAGUAGUUCUUCCUUUGGAAGUGGAGAUCCCAUCUCUCCGUGUGAUCAUGGAAGCAAAGUUAUCCGAGGCUGAAUGGUGCCAAAGUCGGUAUGAUCAGUUGAACCUGGUUGAGGAAAAACGUAUGGAUGCCAUGGCUCGUGGACAGUCAUAUCAAGCAAGAAUGAAGACUGCCUUUGACAAGAAAGUUCGUCCUUGAGAAUUCAAGGAAGGUGAACUUGUAUUGAAAAGGAUGAUAAGCCAACAACCCGACCGAAGGGGCAAGUGGACGCCUAACUAUGAAGGUCCCUAUGUUGUCAAGAAGGCCUUCUCCGGUGGUGCUUUAAUUCUUACACACAUGGAUGGUGUAGAACUUCCAAAUCCUGUGAAUGCUGAUAUAGUCAAGAAAUACUUUGCCUAGAUAUAUGAAAAGAACAGCGUGGUAGGUCGAAAACCCGAAAGGGCGGCCUAGGCAAAAAUGCGCUUCCCGGUGGAUCGAAAACUCGAAAGGGCGAUCCAGGCAAAAUAAGGGACAAAAACAAAUAUGAAAAAGCUCGCUGAGAUUGUACGCAAACCCGAAAGGGCGGUUCAUGCAAAAAUGAGAUUGAAAUGAAAAGACAAAUGACUGUAUCUGGCAAACCACCAUCCCCUUGGGGCAUCUGCAGCUGUUAAUGAUCAUCUUCAUCAGAAGCUUCUGUGCUUGCGAAUUCAAAGUUUCUAGGAAAUGUAGUGGUUACUGUGUUCAAUGUACCACCAACCAAUAAAAUUGCCAUUUUCCAAGCUUUGUAAAUCCGUGGAGUCACGCCUUCGGCUGACCACCACUCUUAUACAUCAAUUCGAGCCUGUGCUUUUGUCUGAAACUCUAUUUUCUCUCUACUUUCAAAGCUAUGUACAAAAAAACAUUUUCUUUCUAUCUUGAUAAUGACAAUGCUUGAAACAAACAUCUUGAAAAUUGAAAAAAGUUUUUUGUCUGUUUUGAAAGUAAACCUGAGCAACAAGGUACGUUCAAACGAAACGUGCAUGAGUGAGCGUAUGUCGAUGUCUAUUUCAAUGUGUUACAAGCAGGCUCUUCCCCAGGAUAGUCUGUGGUCAAUGGCAAGAAUAAAAAAACAGAAUGAAAAUGCAUGAAAAUGAAUAAGCUCGCUCAGUUGAAAACCCGAAAGGGCGACUUAGGCAAAAAUGAGCACCCCGCUGGAUUGACAACCCGAAAGGGCGGUUCACGCAAAAAUGGGGCAAUGAAAAGAAUUUAUUUCCCCGGUGGAUCGAAAACCCGAAAGGGCGAUCCAGGCAAAAAUGGGAUGCAAUGAAAAAUAAAAAAAUUGAGAAAAUGACAUGCAAAAAGCAUUGACCACAUAUGCAACAUCCACAGUACACCCAACACUGAAAUGCCCAGCGAUGACGGCAUUAUCUCCAGCAGAGUCUUCCGAGAUUCUGUCCCCAGCAAGUCGCGUAGCAACCCGCCCUCAGCCAUGGUUCCGAUACGUCUCCCAAUGACGUUAUCUCCAAAGAGGAUUUCCAAGAAUGUGUGAUAUAGCGCGAGCCACUACGUGCCCAAUACUCCAAUGUCUUGUCUGUCUCUGCGAAACUAUGUCUACAAACUGCCAACAGUCAUGCGUUACAAGCAUUCAUACAUGCAUAAUCAUGCAUACUACGUGCCCAUACAUCUGAUAAAACUGUUAUAUCAUCCAUGCAUAUUGCAUUUCCAAUGUCAACAUCAGUCUCAAUCCAAUACUUUUGUCAAAUUCUCUGUCAAGACCUAGGGAGCCAGUGCCAUUGGCCCAUCUCUAGGACAUGUCAAUGUCAAGUCAAUUUCAAUUUAUAUUUUGUCAAAAAACUAAUCCCUAGUGAAUUUGUUUCUAUUUGGUCAAGUCCAAGAACAGCUUGUACCUGUCUAUUUGUUUCUGUUCGGUCAAGUGGCUAGUUCAAGUCCAAGAACAGCUUGUACCUGUCUGUUUGUUUAUGUCUCCGGUGGAGUAACCAGUUCGCAUCCAAGAACAAGCUCACACCUGUCUAUUUGCCUUUGUUUUCGGUCGAGUGACCAGUUCGAAUCCAAGGACAACUCAUACCUGUCUACUUUUCCAUGUCCCCAGUCGAGUAACCAGUUCGCAUCAAAGGAUGACUCGCACCUGUUUGUCUGCCUUUAUUCCCGGUCAAAUGCCCAGCUCAAUCCAAGAGCAGCUUGUCUGUCAAUUUGUUUUUGUGACCGGUCUACCCUGUCAUCUGCUAUUCUGCCAAUGUCUACCAAUCCCGCAAUGGAUACGACAUACUUUGUUAAAUCCAACUCUCGUUUGUCUUGCAUUCAUAAUCCAAAUGUUGCAUGGCAUUCAUGAUAUUUGAAAACGUACAAGCGUAUUUUUACGUCCAAAUACAGUGCAAAUGUUAAUAUUUAAGUAUCUUCGUCCCGUCAAGCCAAGGACUCCGUCUCUUGACCCUCCGGACAAAGAAACUUAAAUAGGGGCAGCUGUUAUACCCUGAUUUUGGACCUAAAAAUACUCGUUCAAAUUUCUUUUCUACCAUUGAUAAUUGUCAAUUUACUAUUGUUUUACUUUGAAUCUUCACUUUAUUUUCAUCUGUAUAUUUUACUGUCUCUGCCUCAAGGUAUUUGCAAAUCAUGAUUUUGCCUGUGUUUUUCUUGCAUAAGAUCAUCCAAAGUGUUUUUCUUACACUACAAGUCAUUUGAAAACUUUCUGAAUCAUUGCAUUGCUUUUCUUGCAUUUUAAUUCAAAUAUUUGCAAAAAAAUCGUACAAGAAGGGCAUUUUGGUCAUUUCCUGCAGUGGAACCCAUUUUAGUCCCUGUGUUUGUCUCUGAGUCUUUUCAACUUGUUUUACAAAUCAUUGUUGAGUCUUUGUUAAAAAAAAAUCAUUUCAAAAAUUGCAUCUGAGUCAGUUUAGUCCCUAGGGGGCAUUUUGGUCUUUUCCCAUCAAAAUUUCGACAGAGAGGUAUUUUAAAAUACCUCAUUUUUGUAAUUGGUUCGUUUUAGUCCUUUUGUUGAUUUUAUUUUUAGGUUUCACUUUACUUUUUUUUCCAACUUACCAAUUUUAAUUCAAUUUUAUUUUUAAUUGCAUUCUGGUCCCUCAAACAAGUUUCCAUAAUUGCACUUUAGUCCAAAACUUUUUAAAAUUGCAUUUUAGUCCAUUAUUAUUAAUUGCAGUUUAGUCCUCAAUUUUACAUUUUUUGCAGAAAGGUCCCUAGGUCACAGCAAGUCCAAGGCCGAGCCAUACAAGUCCAGGUGUCACCAUUCCAUUGGAUCUCAAGUACAAGUGGCAGCUUAUAAAUAGUGCACAGUGUCAGAGAAAUCCACAGAGACCCAUUCAAUUCAAGCCACAUCACAAACAGAACUCCACUUUUCUCUCUCCAUUCAGUUAGAUCAAAAUUCAGAAACCAUGAAGAACAAGCAAGAACCCUAAUUCUCCAGCACCAAAAUUCAUAAACAAAUUCAUCAAAUUCUCGUUGAUUCUCAGUGAUUCAUGGUGAAUCUUCAUCAUUGAAUCGUUUUUCUCUGCAAUUCAAGUGCGAAUUCAUCACCAAGUAGUGACAAACUCAAGCACGAUCACAGAGCUUUUUUUGAAGAAGAAGAAGAAAGAAAGAAGAUGAAGAAUAUGAACCGGUGAAGAAGAAGAAGGAAUCAAACCAGCCAGAAACACCGAUUUAUUUUCGGUUUCAAGUCAAAAAUCAACAAACAGAAUCAAAUCGAAGAUUUCUAAAAGAUCUCGUUCGAAAUCUCCGAUUAAAUCACAGGUAAACAUACAACUCCACCGUUCUUUCUUAAAAAGCAUCAAUAAGGACGAAUCCAUGUAGAUCCUCAAGGUUUCAAACAGUUUCUUUCAAAAAAUUUGAAAACCUAAAAAAUAUUUUCAAAACCGUAACAAAAAUGUAGAUCUACAAAGAUUCAAGCCUUGCAUGUGAUUUCUGGCAUUAGAUUCAUGUUUAGGGUGAAGAAACGAGUAGAUUGAUGUAGGAUUCAUGGUUUUCUGGUGAGGUUAGGGCUCGCCGGAAUCUGGAAUUCACGGCGGAGUUGAUGAAGAUUCUGAUGAAUCUUCAUCUUCUCCGGCCGUCUCCUUCCAGAAACCGGCGAAGAGAAGAGAGAGGAGAGGUUAGAGAGAGAAGUGAGAAGUUAGAGAGAGAAAGAACAAUAGCAAAUGAAAAAAACCGACGCUCCCCUCCUUUUAUAGGCCAGCGAACCGGACCGAUCCAAGACCGGUCCAAUUCCCUUCAUUCUUGGCCGUUUGAUCUAGGGUUUGAUCUCUUGGAUCAAUCCUGUGGUUCCUGUGCGUCCAGACCUUUUAGGCUUGGGCUUGGGCUUUUUCCUUUUGGUUUUGCUGCGUUUUUGCUAUUUUUUUCGCUAUUCACACCAUGCUUUCUUGCUAUUUGAACCACUGUUCGUUCUAAUUUUCUCGUAAAAAUUCCUAAAAAAUUUCUGUGUUUCUUGAUACAUUUUUGACUAUUUUGUGAUUUUUUUUGCAUGUUAUAAAAUUGAUAAAAAUAUAUGUGUUGCUUUCUUGAUUAUUUUCUUUUCUCUAGUUGAAUUUCAUGCAAUUUCUCGUUGUUUUCCGUUCGUGAUAUCUUGAUAUAUGAUAUGAACGUUCGAUGUGCAAUUUCAUGAUAAAUGCCACUGUUUGCGUGUGUGUUUUGCUGUUCUCAACAUGAUUUGUUAAUUUCUUGCCUUGCAAGUAUUACUUUCCUCUUUGUAUUGUGGUUAUUGUCGUCAUUCUUUACCGUUUACCAUAUAUUCCUUUGUUUGCUCUCUUCGCCGUAUUUUCAUGCCUUAUUUUACUAACCAUUUUUUGUUUUAUGUCUCAUCCAUUUUAUAGCAUUUCAUCAUUUCAUUCCUAUUCAUUUUUUAUGUUAAGUGGACAUGUAAUAAUUCUAGGUAGUUUAAUUUCCUUUUAAUUUCUUGCAAGACCAUAGCAUGUAAAUUUGGGCAAAGUGUAAAGGACAAUGGACUCUCUAUAAUGAUGUACACCGACACAAGCACCGACACGCACACACGUUGUAUGUUUACCGCUUAGAUGCAUGCUUAGGAAACGCAAUACUUAGAAAAAUAUCAUUUUUUCCAAAAAUAACUCCAUAACUCAAAAUUUUUCUCUAAUAAACCUUGGAGUCAACACUCCAUUGUAUUUUCCCUUUAUUUUCUUAAUCAAAACUUCAAUGAAUCUUAAUUUCUACUUAGACACUCUUUCUUUAAUAAUCGAACCAACCAUUCACUAUUUUUUCCUCUCAUGCCUUUACGGCCUCUUUCUCUUCUUCAAAACCAUUUUCAAAAACUAAAAUCAAUUGAAACACACAAAAACCAUUUUUGAAAGAGAACUACAUGGAAUUUUGAUACCUUAAAAGGGUAUGUAGGCAAGAGGUCAAAACCUCUCCAAGUCCAAUAAAAUAAAAUCUCAAACGUUUCCUCACUUUCCUCCCUCCAUUCUUAAACUAAAUAAACUUUCUUUUCAAUAAAUAAGCAUAAAAAUAAAGCGUAGACAUAAAGUUAGGAAAGCAGUUCCUAUAGAAUACUAUAGUCGUUGCGGGUGCCUAACACCUUCCCGUAACGAAAACGACCCCCGAACUUAGAAUUUCUAAGGGUUUUCUCAAUUUUACCCUUCCCAAGAAAAAAUAGAGAAUAUCAAAGAUUGAAAGGUUCAAGCCUAAUUAAUGACUUGAUACCCCAAAAUCGUGAUAACAAUCAUGGUACUUCUUGACCUUUUCUUUAUACAACCUUGAGGAUUCAUAGGCUUGGUUCCUCAUCUCCUCAAGUUCAUGCAUUUGAAUUUUCCGUCGUUCACCAGCUUUCUCCUGAUCAAAAUUCAGAAACUUGAGUGCCAAAAAUGCUUUGUGUUCGAGAUCUACUGGUAAAUGACAUGACUUGUUGUAAACCAUUUGAAAUGGUGUGUGACCUACAGGAGACUUGUAUGCUAUCCUAUAAGCCCACAAGGCGUCAUCAAGCUUCGCCGACCAAUCCUUCCGAGAUGUUGAGACUAUUUUCUCCAUAAUUCUUUUAAUUUCUCGGUUUGAGACCUCGGCUUGACCGUUGGUUUGAGGAUGGUAUGGUGAUGCUACCUUGUGUUUCACACCAUAAUGAUUUAAUGCCUUAGGAAGCUGUGUGUUGCAGAAACGUGAGCCUCCAUCACUUAUCAAAACUCUUGGUGUUCCUAACCGGGUGAAGAUAUUCUUUUUGAGGAACUCUACCACUGUCUUGCUGUCGGCUUUUGGCGACGCGAAGGCUUCCACCCACUUUGAGACAUAAUCUACGGCUACCAAGAUGUAUUCAUUUGAGUACGAUGAUGGGAAGGGGCCAACAAAAUCAAUACCCCAACAAUCAAACACUUCCACUUCAAGAAUACUUUAUAUAGGCAUUUCAUUCCGCUUUGACAUUGAUCCGGUUCUUUAACAUUCAUCACAAAACUUGCAAUGAGUGUAAGCAUCUUUGAAAAGUUUUGGCCAAUAGAAACCGGAUUGGAGUACUUUUGCAGCAGUUCUCUCCCCGUUGAAGUGACCUCCAUAGGGGGAAUUGUGACAUUGCCACAAUAUUUUCUUUGCCUCCUCAUUAUCAACACACCUACACAAGAGGUUAUCCGCUCCAAUUUUAAACAAGUAUGGUUCAUCCCAUACAUAGUGAAUAGCUUCAUGGAGAAAUUUCUUGCGUUGUUGCCAAUUAUAAUCUUCAGGAAUGAAUUAUGUUGCUUUAUAGUUCGCCAUGUCGGCAAACCAUGGUCUUUCUUUGAUGGCAAGCAACUUUUCAUCCGAAAAUUCUUCAAGAACUUCCGGUUCAUUCUUGGUUACCUCUUUGUUCAUGAGCCUUGGUUUUGAGUCGGACUUAGUAAGAAGAUACUUGAUAGCUGCAUGGUCAGUGUAAACAACAAUUUUGGAACCUACGAGGUAUGAACGAAAUUUUUCCAAUGCAUAUACUAUUGCGAGCAACUCUUUUUCAGUGGUAGCAUAAUUAAUUUGUUCUUCAUUUAAAACUUUACUCGCAUAAUGUAUAGCAUGGAAAAUUUUGUUCUUGCGUUGACCUAGCACGACACCAACAACAUAAUCACUAGCAUCACACAUUAAUUCAAAGUUUAAGUUCCAAUUUGGAGCUGUGAUUAUUGGUGCGGAGGUCAACCGCUCCUUCAAAGUUUCAAAAGCAUUUAAACAAUCAUUAUCAAAGAGAAAAGACUUAUCUUUGUUGAGCAAAUUUCUCAAUGGCUUUGCUAUCUUUGAGAAGUCUUUGAUAAAUCUCCGGUAAAACUCGGCAUGACCAAGAAAGCUACAGACCCCAUUGACAUUCACCCGUGGUGGGAGCUUUCCGAUUACAUCAAUCUUUCCCUUGUCAACUUCAAUGCCUCUUGAUGAAAUCUUGUGACCAAGAACAAUGCCCUCGGUCACCAUCAAAUGACAUUUUUCCCAAUUAGGCACAAGAUUGGUUUCUUUACACCACUUCAGCACGGUGUCCAAGUUGUUCAAGCAAACAUCAUAGGAUGAUCCAAAAACAGAAAAAUCAUCCAUGAGUACCUCAAUACUCUUCUCAAUCAAGUCGGAGAAUAUCGCUUGCAUACAUCGUUGGAAUGUUGCAGGCGCAUUGGAUAAACCAAACAACAUUCUUCUAUAUGCAAAGAUUCCUAAAGGACAUGUAAAAGUUGUCUUCUCAUGGUCCUCCGGAUUGACUGUGAUUUGGUUAUAGCCCGAGUAGCCAUCAAGGAAACAAUAAUAAGCUUGACCGGAAAGGCGUUCAAGCAUUUGGUCCAUGAAAGGCAAUGGGAAAUGAUCUUUCCUUGUAGCUUGGUUAAGUCUUCGGUAAUCAAUACACAUCCGCCACCCGAUGACGGUUCUUGUAGGGAUGAGCUCAUUCUUCUCAAUUUUGACUACCGUCAUACCACCCUUCUUCGGCACUACUUGCACCGGGCUUACCCAUGCACUAUCCGAGAUUGGAUAGAUCAUGCCGACUUCAAUCAACUUAACCACCUCCUUGCGGACUACCUCUUUCAUUGUUGGAUUUAACCGGCGUUGAGGUUGGGCCACCGGUUUGAAGUUCUCUUCCAUGUUGAUCUUAUGCAUACAAUAGGAGGGACUUAUGCCUUUGAGAUCCCACAACUUCCAACCUAUCGCUUCUUUAUUUUGCUUAAGAACUUCAAUCAACUUGUCUUCUUCAUUGCUUGAUAGAGAGUUGCUAAUAAUGACUUGUUUAGUGCUGUCUUCUUCAAGGAACACAUAAUUAAGAUGUGACGGCAACACUUUCAAUUCAUUAUUUGAUUCUUCAACCUUUUCUUUCUCUUUCAACUCCUCCACUUUUGCUUUCUUUGGAGGAAUCUCCUUCAAGGUUUCCAACUCGUUCAAGCAUUCUUCUAAUUCCUUCUCUUCCUCCGCACUAAGGACUAUAAGUGCGUCGGUGAGCGGUUAACCUCCGCACCAAUAAUCACAGCUCCAAAUUGGAACUUAAACUCUGAAUUAAUGUGUGAUGCUAGUGAUUAUGUUGUCGGUGUCGUGCUAGGUCAACGCAAGAACAAAAUUUUCCAUGCUAUACAUUAUGCGAGUAAAGUUUUAAAUGAAGCACAAAUUAAUUAUGCUACCACUAAAAAAGAGUUGCUCGCAAUAGUAUAUGCAUUGGAAAAAUUUCGUUCAUACCUCGUAGGUUCCAAAAUUGUUGUUUACACUGACCAUGCAGCUAUCAAGUAUCUUCUUACUAAGUCCGACUCAAAACCAAGGCUCAUCCGAUGGAUGUUGUUAUUACAAGAGUUUGACUUAGAGAUAAAAGACAAGAAAUGAACAGAGAAUCUUGUAGCUGAUCAUCUCUCAAGGCUCAUGAACAAAGAGGUAACCAAGAAUGAACUGGAAGUUCUUGAAGAAUUUCCGGAUGAAAAGUUGCUUGCCAUCAAAGAAAGACCAUGGUUUGCCGACAUGGCGAACUAUAAAGCAACAUAAUUCAUUCCUGAAGAUUAUACCUGGGAACAACGCAAGAAAUUUCUCCAUAAAGCUAAUCACUAUGUAUGGGAUGAACCAUACUUGUUUAAAAUUGGAGCGGAUAACCUCUUGCAUAGGUGUGUUGAUAAUCAGGAGGCAAAGAAAAUAUUGUGGCAAUGUCACAAUUCCCCCUAUGGAGGUCACUUCAAUGGGGAGAGAACUGCCGCAAAAGUACUCCAAUCCGGUUUCUAUUGGCCAACACUUUUCAAAGAUGCUUACACUCAUUGCAAGUUUUGUGAUGAAUGUCAAAGAACCGGAUCAAUGUCAAAGCGGAAUGAAAUGCCUAUACAAAGUAUUCUUGAAGUGGAAGUGUUUGAUUGUUGGGGUAUUGAUUUUGUUGGCCCCUUCCCAUAAUCGUACUCGAAUGAAUACAUCUUGGUAGCCGUAGAUUAUGUCUCAAAGUGGGUGGAAGCCGUCGCGUCUCCAAAAGCCGACAGCAAGACGGUGGUAAAGUUCCUCAAAAAGAAUAUCUUCACCCGGUUUACAACAUCAAGAGUUUUGAUCAGUGAUCGAGGUUCACAUUUCUGCAACACACAGCUUGAUAAGGCAUUAGAUCAUUAUGGUGUGAAACACAAGGUAGCAUCACCGUACCAUCCUCAAACCAACGGUCAAGCCGAGGUCUCAAAUCGAGAAAUUAAAAGAAUUCUGGAGAAAACAGUCUCAACAUCUCGGAAGGAUUGGUCGGCGAAGCUUGAUGACGCCUUGCGGGCUUAUAGGACAGCAUAUAAGUCUCCUAUAGGUCUCACACCAUUACAAAUGGUUUACGGGAAGUCAUGUCAUUUACCGGUAGAGCUCGAACACAAAGCAUUUUGGGCACUCAAGUUUCUGAAUUUUGAUCACGAGAAAGUCGGUGAACGACGGAAAAUUCAAAUGCAUCAACUUGAGGAGAGGAGGAACCAAGCCUAUGAAUCCUCAAGGUUGUAUAAAGAAAAGGUCAUGAAGUACCACGAUAAAAAGAUUGUGCAGACAAACUUCCAGCCUGGACAGAUGGUGCUGCUGUUCAAUUCAAGAUUGAGGAUCUUUCCGGGCAAUUUAAAGUCUAAAUGGUCCGGUCCUUUCAUGGUUAAAGAGGUUAAACCAUAUGGUGCAGUGGAGCUUGAAGAUCCAGCUACUAAAGCUAGUUGGAUAUUAAAUGGGCAGAGACUCGAGCCCUAUUUUGAUGGUGAAUUUGAUCGGCUCACGUCGACAAUUUCACUCGACAAUCCAUGAACUCAAAUGCAAAAGGCGUCGAGCUAACGACGAUAAACUAUCGCUUGUUCGGAGGCACCCCAAUUUUGUAAGUAAAUUUAUUGUGUUUCUGCAAUUUUAGAAUUAGAAGUCACAUAACCUACAAAAAAUUCCAAAAACAGAAGCUAACAAGGAAAAUCCUGAACUGACAUUUUUUCGCCUAGCGAACCAGAUUUUUGCCUGGGGAGAAUUACAGGUCAUUUGACCUGCGUUGACUACCAUUUCCUUCGAAAUCAUGUAAACUGGCAUACAGAUUCCAAUGCCACUAACUCACCAUAACUCCUCCCAACCACCCAUUAUCCCUUAUUACACAAAAUUUUCGGUUUCACUUUUCUCUCUCUCAACCAAACCUACUUUCUUCUAUUCAUAACCCUAGAACUCACCAAGAAACUUUCCACAAUUUCCACCCAAGCAAAUUCAAGUCAAGCUAGCAUUUCUGCAUUUUCUCUGCAUUUGAUUUACUCCAACAACAGGUUUGUCAUUCACUUCUUUCAUUAUUUAUGGGCAAUUACUUGUUCCUUGACAAAAACCUAGGUUAGUUGACAAUAGCAAUGUUAAUCCCUUCUCCUUGUUAAUUUGAAUCACUAAAUGACUGAGAUGAAUAAAAAUCAGAGUCUAAUAUCGGUUCUCUUCGUGCUCAAACCACAAUUUUUGAAACUCUAACCCAAUUUUUGUAAAAUUUCAAAUAAAAAGGGUUUUUUAAUUCAUCUCUUGGUCAUGAUUAGGAUCGAAAUUUAUUGAUAUAAGGUUGAACAAUCACAAAAUGGAAAGAAUUGAUGAAAACUGAUGAAUUUUUGUGAAAAGGGUUGAAUUUUUGAAGUCUGGGUUCGCUCGCCUUUUGCUCGCCAUGGCGAGCUGUUCUUUAGAAACCCAAAAACUUGAAUGCCAUUUCUCCAUGGCGGAGGUCAAUCUCGCCUGGCGAAAUUCACAGGAACUAGAAAAAAAUUUGUUUCAUUUUUAAUCUAUUUUGAAUUUAUUCUUCUCAUUAUUUUUUCUGUGAAUUGUACGGAUUUCGUCGUUGUGUUUUUCAGGCAUGGCACCUAAGAAUCAACCUAAGGGAUCCACUUCUGCAAGGGGAAAGAGGAAGCAAGUUGAAGCCACACCAGUUGCUCGACCUUAUGAUGAGCAUAGAUUCUUUAGUGCGGAGCAUCAGGAUAGGUACCAGGAACUAUGCGGCCGGAAGUUUUGGCAUGACAAGCAGUUCCAAAUUUCAACUGAAGGGAAGUAUCGGGGUCUUGCUGAAAUCAUUAAGAAGAGAAAAUGGGAGACAUUGGUUGCCCCUCACCACUAAAUCAACGCUGAAAUUGUGCGUGAGUUCUAUGCGAACGUCAUGCCUGUAGAAGGACAAGAAUUCAGCUUCAAAACCAUGAUACAGGGCAGGGUGAUCAACUUUGAUCGCCGUGACAUCAAUGAUUAUGUUGGCAAGCAAUACAAACUUAACUACCCUGAUGAAUUAUGCCCCUUCCACCUUCAGCAAAACAAAGGAAACUGGGACCAUCAGGUCAUUCAAGAAACCAUUUUGAAACCGGGAACGGGGUAUGAGAAAAGUGUGACCGGGCGUUCUCACGUAAAGAAAUGUAACAUGACCCCCAUUGCUCAAACCAUCUGCAAAAUAAUCUUGUUCAACAUCAAACCCAAGAGUCACCUCUCUACUUGUACCAUAGAUAUUCCACCCCUCAUUUACUACAUCCUCUCCGAUCAACCAGUUGACAUCGCUAGGAUCAUUGCUAGUGAACUUAAGGAUGUUGCUUUAAGCAACAAAUAGAGGGUUCCUUUACCCUUUCCUGGAUUGAUUAUGGGGUUGAUUAUUAGCCUCCGAAUCAAAAUUCCUAGCCAAGUUCAUAAAGAAUUGCAGAACUCGAUCACUGAUGCGGUCAUUGCAAGUCACAGUGACAAAGAGAAAAAGGGUAAGAAAAGCUUAGGAGCUUCCUCAUCUCCCCAACCGCUGAUAGUGAUUUUUCCCACAUGGACCCCUACCAGCAAUAGUGCUUCACCUACACUUGGGAUUACUUAGAUGCUAACAAGAGGGUUGUAUCUUCAUUACACGAUUCCUUGUACCGGAUGCAGCUGCACUCCGGCUAUCCACAAGAAGCAGCCCAUCAGGUCCCAACACCGGAAGCUUACGAGUCUUAUUGUGCUUGGCCUGGGGACAGGCCAUUUGUUCAUGGAGGGGGUGGUUCUUCGUUUAUGCAGGUUGAUGAACCAGUUGUGAUGAUCAGGGUGAUGCAGACCUACAUGAUCCGGACGAAGUGGCAAGUGCGAAUUCAAGCGAAGGCACUCCAAGUUAUGAAGAGCAGGACUAGAGAGGAGUAAAGAAAAGACUUGAAAGCACACCUGAAAUGAGUGAUAUUUUAAGAUGCUUUCAGUCAAUUUUUUUAUUUCUAGACUCAUCAUUUAAUGCUUUACUUUUAAUACUCUUUGAACUAUUUGCUUAUGUAUUGUGUUUAAUUUGCUAUGUGUGACUUUAGUGUUAUGUUUUGAACUAUUACUGUGUUCGUAUUGUGGAUGUUGUAAUGUGACGUUGUUUGAGACAAUGUGUUUUAAUUACGAUGUGUUCGUAUCGUUUAAUAACGUAUUGUGUAGUUUAAAUUUUGUCAAGUACUUCAUUUUGAAUUAUUUUGAAAAUUGUGGAAGUUUGUUUUGGUUUAUUACUAUUGCUUGUUUGAAAGAAAAUGAUAAAUGCUCGAGCUUCAAAUUUCAAAGUGCUUGAAAGAUAGCCAGAGAGCAAAAUCUCAGAUGAAUGGUAAUGAUAGAUAGUUGUGAUAAAGCGCAUAGCCAAGGUACAAGUUUUCGGUUUUUCUAGAUUUUUACUUGAAUGUGAAACGGGUACUUUGCACAAAUUUCAUUUCAUUUAGUUCUCCGCAAUAACAUAAUUAAUUGUGAACCACUUAGUACUAGCCAAAAAGUGAGGAAACCUCAAUGUUUGUACUAUAUGCAAGGAGACCGACAUUCAUUGUUUAACUCGGUCAUUUUAUGUUAAAUCCAAUAUUUGUUUUAAAUUGUGUGAACACAUGGAAAGGAUCAAGGCACAUUUUUGUUUGAUGAGAGAAACAUACUUGACCACAAAUAGCCUACCUUGUGAGAAGAGCGAGUAUUUGCUAACCCACUUGAGCCAAAUGAAUCAAGGUCCUCAAUUAUGAACUGUCAAUUCAUAAGCACAAUGCUUGAUGAAUUUGCCUUAAAUUUUUCAAAAUCCAGUUCAUUUUUGUUGCACUAUUGGACCUUGAUAUGCUUUUAAUUGUUGAACCCUAAACCUUCAUUUUUAUUUGUCCCUUUUUUGCAAUAGAUUAAAGGAACAUUCAAAUAGGGUAUGUUUUUAUUCAAGUUGGGGAGAAAAGGUAGAUGUAAAUCAUUCAUCAAGUAAAUUGGUGUAAUUAGAAGUUUUUGAUCAAGACAACAUUGUUUGUAAAUGCCAAAAAAAAAAAAAAAAAAAAAAAAAAAAAAAAAAAAAAAUGUGUACAUGAUAAAGAAAAGAAAAUAAGAAAAAGGAAGAAAAAUCCAAAAAUAGAAUAAGUUGUCAAGAUCAAGGUGUAUCAUGUUUAAACAUCAAGGGUUGUUUAGGGAAUUCUAGUAAAUUUGUCUUUUGAAUGUAAUUAAAAGGAAUGUUCCCUUAUGCUUGGCCAUUUGAAUUCAAUUGACCCACAAAUGUCCUUUCUUUUGUAGCCGAGCCAUGUUACAACCCUCAAAGACCUUUUGAUCCAUGUUUUUAUGCCUUUUGAAAUGAUAAUUGGAUGGACACAUAACUUGAUGUGGAUGUUAACUUGAUUGUCGGGUGUAUGUUCAUAACCCUUAUUCAUUUGAUUUCACUUGUUUAUGUACUUACAAAGAACUGUGUUAGGUGUGGUUCAGAAAUAAGUAUGUUAUUGACUUGAAUUAUUUGAAAUGUACUUUGUGCUUAGGACUCAUUACACAUUUGUAGUGGAUUUUCAGAUUAGUUGGAAACUUUAGACUUGCUCGCGCGCAUUCAUUUGAAUCACUCAUCUGCAGAAGUGUUUAAAACCUUUUUGUGCGUGCAUCUUGUCCUAAACUUGUGUAUGUUUUCAAUCUUUUGUUUGAGGACAAACAAAGAGUUAAGUUGGGAAGAGUUUGAUAAGUGCUAGGAAGUAGUGUUUUAAAUGUUUAUUUACGGCACGUUUGUUACUUGUUUCACAAGUUAUCUAGGGAAAAGCCGAGAGAAAAGUGAAUUUUGACCUAUUACGCUUUAGUCAUCUUACUUUACCCAUAUGUGUAGGAAUCGAGUGCCAAAACAUCAAGCAAGAGUCAAAAACAACAAAAAGGAGAAAAAGUCGGUUCGCCUAGCGAAUAAAUGGCGAGCUAAAAGCAAGGUAUCGGUACAUAAAGCUUUCAGAUUGUUGAAUAGAUUGAGAAAUCGUCGAUUAAACGAUCCAAUCAACAAUUGGAUUGUUUAAUAGUUUGGGAAAUCAACUAUUGAACAAUACAAUUGAUCUCACACGAUUAUUUGGACACGAAUAAUCUUGUUGAGCGAUACGUGAUAAUAUCGAUAAAACGCUGGAAUCCAUAUACAUGAUUAGCUUACCUAAACUUGAAAUUUUCCGUUUUUGGUUGAAACUUGUACAUUUUUGGAAAUUCGAAUUUUGUCGAAACAAACUUUUGUAAACUAAUUGAGAUUACAAGUUGAGCCUAUAGUUCAUAUAGACUUAGGUAAGACUUGUAAGGUUGGUCAAACAUCUUAAUCUUGUCAAAUGUGAUAUUUCGGGUGCGAAUGUGGAAAUUAUGAAUUUGGGUUUUCUUAUACGAACUUAAGCUAAUCUUCGGACUAAUGUCUAAUAGUUUGUAAGUGGCUUAAGCUCAUGACUACAUGAUUGAUUAAGAUUGUUUGAGGGCUUCCAACUUGUCUAUGUUGCUUUGUCUUGGGAAUUAUCAAUGUUGGCCGUUUGCCACUUGAUACGGUACUUGUCGGAAAUGUUCCUUUGAGUCAAUUAUCUUAUGAUCUAUCGUGACUAUCCUUAUAUGACUAAGUGAAGAUGUGUGAAUGAAUGGUUAUAUUUUGAAUAUGAUAUUUGUCAUGAGAUGUUGUAUGUUAUCUUACUUAGAAUGUGAGAAAUACUUGAAAUGGUAAAACUAUAUGAAUAGUUGAUGUUGAAUGAUAUUGUUGAUUAUUUGAUGAUUAUGUUGAUGAUGUGAUGGUGAGUAUUAAUUGAAUUAUGACUUGAUCGUUGUGUGGACGUAAACACUUGGUAAUGCAAUUGUUGUGGAGAUGAUCAAUGUAUUUGGAAGUUGUCCUCUAUAUUGUGGUGAAAAUUUGUGAGGUGAUGUCGCAUUAUCGAGUAUUUGCUACAUGUCCAUGCAUCAUAGUCGUGUUGAGAUUUUAUAUGAUGUGUUUGUUGCAUCAUUGGGCUUCGGCCUUGCAGAGAUCACUUAGUGAUCUAGUUUGUGGGCUUCGGCCUUACAGAGAUCCAUUAGUGAUCUAGAUUGUGGGCUUCGGCCUUGCAGAGACCUUUGGUGGUCUAGAUAUAGGUGACGACCUUGAAGUGAUUUGCUACUGCAUGCAUAUAUGUGUCGAACUAGGUGCAUAUCAUGACAUAAGUCUUAUUGGUGAAAUGUGAUUGAUGAUUGUUCAUGAUAAAUGUGGUUGAUGAUUGUUCAUGACACAUGUGAUUGGUGGUUACUUAAUGUAAGAUAUUGGAACUAUGGUAUGAGUAUAUACAUGGAUAUUAUUAUUAUUUGAUUAAGUACAUGAUAUUGGAAUUGAGUUAUUAUGUGGAUUAUGAUGAUGUAAUACUUACCCCUAGUGGUUUCGACUGCCUACCUGUCUGUAUGGAUUGGUAGACGUUGUGCAGGAUUAGUUGCUUUGAUGAGUUGCUUGAUGCAUGGUCGGAUAUCGGAAACUUUCUCCGGUAUUGGUGUUGUAGGGUCUAUGAUAGGCUCUGAUCUAGGUGUCUGUUAGAUUUCCUAGAUUAUCUGUUUAGAUUUUAUUCAUGUUUGGAGAUUUCGCAUUUGUCGGGACUUGGAGGAUUUUCAUGAUUAUGUAUUUUUGAUAUCAUGGCAUGUAUGCUUCGAAGUAUUUUGGUUUAUAUCCGCUGCAACUGUUGAGAUUUUUAUGCAUGCAUGUUGAAUUGGAAUUUUGUAUGAUGACGUAGCGUCUAUUUCUUGAAUAAAUUCCUUAUUCGCGAGUUUUACCACUUUAAUAGAAAUAAGGCGUUACAAAAACGGCGCUAAGUUUUUCUAGGUCAUCUGGAAAAGGCCCUAAAAAUGCAUGCGGUGAAUUAGGGCAUGGAAUGAUUACCUGGGAUUUCCAGAUUUCCAGAUUUUAUCAUCAGCUUCUUUGAUGUAUGGUUCCUCUAUGAACUGAAGACUACCGCUGGGGAUUUCUUUGGAGAAAUUGAUAGUUUCAUCGCGCUUUGAAUUUUUAGAAGACGAUCCUUCUACAUGCGUCAUGAUUGAAGUUUUCUGGUGAAAACGGCGAAAGAAAGCGAUGAAUCUUUCUAAAAAGAAUUUGAACUUUGUAAGGGUUUUCAAUGAAGAGUUCUUUCUGCGAAGAAGAAAAAGGAACCGUGAAAGGGUAAAAGUUUGGAAGGUAGAAAGUUGAAAAUAAAGGUAAGUACCUUUGUUUUAUAACUUUUUGAUCUGGACAGGUGUCAACAUCUUACGUUGACAUUUUAUUCUUUUUAAAGUAAAAAAUUGGUAGUUCCCAAUGACUGAGAACGUGGCCUAUUAGCCAUGGUAGGGACACCAUAAAGGUUUCUUUUGAAACUAUCUCUCUAGACGAUGAUGUCACGGAUUCCAUUUUCGACCAAGAUGGAUUAUGCUCAUAGGGGUCAGAAACAUCCUUUUCUCCCUAUCGAAAGAUGAGUCGAAGAUGACCUUUCUGGGGGGCAAUUUGUUAGCCAAUAUUUUUAAUGGGUAUCAUUAAAUGUAGUCAAAGUAGGUUGACCUUGUAAUCGAAGGAAUUGUUCUUUUAUCAUUAUCGAAGUUGGGCUUGCUGGAGAUACUCGAAGGUGCGUGUUCGGUUCGACAGACGGAAAACUCUCGAAGAGCAGUUUCUAUUGGAUAAGGUCAAAACAACGAAUAUUUUCAAGACACAUUUGAAAUUCAAUUCGAAUGGAUAAGUUUUGUUAGUUACUGCAGUUAUAGUUUUAAAUUCAAAUCUAGACAGUUAUUUCUAUUUGUAUAAAUAGUAGUUUUCCACAUGGAAGAGAGAAACGAGUCACAAGUUGCAAUGUAUGAAUCUGUGUACCAAUUCACAUUCAAUCAAUGCAAUUUAAGUUCAUUUUCCUAAAUGUCCUUACAAUUUACUUGUUUCUUUUGAGCAAUUCACAUUACGUGUAUUUUUUUGCUUAACUCGAUUGGAUUCAACUAGGUUGAAUUCGAUUGCUUUUUUACUUCUUUUCAUCAAGUUCUUCAAGAACAAUAAUAAAUUUCUCGAAGAUAACAAACACAAUAUGUCCUUAAGAUUUACUGGUUGAUCUUGCAAGUAAAUAUUUUUAAACCAGCGGUUGUUUACCAAAUUUCAGUGUAAACACCACGGGUCCGUGAUCUACCCGAAUAACGGUAAAAUAUUUACUUGAUCAUUCUUGUUCAUAGUGAAGAGUUUAGACUCAUCAAAUCAUAUCUUGACAUACUUAGGGAUUCAUGCUAUCAUUCUAGUUCUCGACGGUCUAGGUCGAGGCUCUAUGAUCUUCCCAUACUUAGAGACUAUCUUGCUACCCGGUCUUAAAUCAUAUCAUAUACUCUCGUGUGCCAUGCCUUGCUAAAUAAAUUAAUACUUGCUUCUUUUCCAAGAAAGUCUUUUAAAAGAAACUUUGAAAAUCAUUAGGAUUGCAAGCAUUAACAUUAAUUAACAAGCAUGGCAUAAAAGGGGACUAAUUUCAUAAUCAUAAAAACCUAGAAUAAGUAUGUUGUCUCACAUAAUCAAACCCAUAAACCCAAGGGUGGGAACUAACUAAAGAACUCACCUCAAACAUUCUCCGCAGCUUGUACAUAGUUCCGUCUGAACUCAGACUCCAUUUCUGCACCUCCUCGCUAGACAAUGCUUCAUGCUUACUUCAGCGAGUUGUCGCAUGUGAAUCCCGAUUCUGCUCAAAUCCUACAUCAGGUCCUUUACUUCAACGUUGUUUCCAGACCUCAAUUCUGAACCGAACUUAGCGAAACUGAUGUCAAAACGUCGGGAAUUGCAUUAGUUAUCCAUAGCCACAACAACCGCUUGAAUCCGAAUGACAGUAAGAGAGUUAUUGCCGUUUCGGUGGAGCCCUGUUCCAAAAUCCGUAACCAGAAUCCAGCAGAAAUUUCCAAACUUUAAACAUGUUUUCCGAAUUCAUUCCUAUUCCGAAUUACAUGAAACUUAUAUCCGAAUUGAAGGGAAUGGGACGUAGAAUCCAAAUAUCUAAUAAUCACUUAACUUUGAUCAACACAGAAAUAGCAGUAAUCCGAUUAUCACCUGUACUGUCAUACAAAUUUCUAUUCAAAUUCCAUAAAGCUCAAGCACAAUCACUUUUAGCAAUAAUAACUCAUUUUGAGCAACCACUCAACCUUACCUAGAUUAACCACAGCCUUAUUCCUUGUCAAUCCUCUAGCUUGAGCCCCUAAAAUCCAACACAACACUUUUGAGCAUUCGAAACUCACAUGAAUCAAAUCUCUUGAACAAAAUGAGAAAAGAUGGAUUUUGAUAAAAGAGGGGGUUUUGGUUCGGCUAAACAGAGAAAGAAAGGGAUGAUAAUGAAUUUAUUAGCUUACCUUAACUUCUUGUUACUCAACAACAUGCAUCCUCAAGAUUAAGCUCCAAAACCCAUGCCUUGCCUUCCUCUCAUGCUAACAGAAGUGAAGGAAAGAAAAUGAAUUGGAAUGAAGGGUUUGGGUUCGGCCAAAGUGGAAGAGAGGGAGAAAAUUCAGCAUGCUUCACAUCUAGAUAAUUCAAGGAUCAUAUAAACACCAUUGCAUGUUGAUUAUUUGAUUGUUAGAUGAAAUUGAUGAGAUCGGGGUGAAUGGAUGGCCGAGGGAGUUAGAGAGAGAAGGGAGGAUAAAAUCUGUUCUAGUGAGAGGAAAACAAGAGAAAAAUGAAGGGGAAAAGGGGGAACG
rnacentral:lncRNA from 1 species